ensembl:lincRNA
CUGUAGAAGAUAAAGGUUGUGAAACCCUGAGGCCUCUCAGGUCUGGCCCUAUGAGAGGCUGACAGGCCAGCACACAGGCUGGCCCUUUAAGGCAAAAGGAAAAACAAGCAUCCUCUUUCCAAGUCCUCUACCUUGCAGAAAUAAGGAUACCCAGCCAGAAAGCCAUCUGUACACCAAACAAACAAACAAAAACUUCUUUAGUAACCUCUCAGAAAGUUAGGAAAAGGUUUAACUCUACCCUGGACUUGAAUAUGUAGCCCCAAGGCGGGUGGUCCUCAUUUUUCUGCUUGGGGUAGGAGUGGCCCUUGCGGCUCCGGAGAUAACAGCCUGAUGUGCUGAGAGCCUCUGCUGAACCUUUUUACAUCCGUGUGGCACAGUGGGAACAAAGGGUUAUGACCAAGGAUGGAAGGUGCUGGCUGGACUGGGUGCACAGAGGUUUUGGAUGAGGGGAAAUGAUACGCUGGUGGGAUCUAUAGCGUUCCCCAAAUGGGGAGGUAGCAGAUGGGGCUCCAGCAGUUUGCAAAGGAUGUUCAGUGCAUGAGCCAGGAGGGAGGUGAGGGUGGUGUGAGGAGCAGCUAGAGAUACAGGCCAGGCAGGGUCUGCCCGGAGGAACUUGUACAUACAGCUGAGGCAGGACAGCCAUGAGAAACAUGGAGCCCUGAGAAGCAUAGGCAGGUGGGGCUCUGCAGACCCUGUCAGCCCGCUGCCUCCCAGCCCAUGCUCCCAGGUCUUAUUCCAUCCUGCCCACCAAGCUCCCUGCUCUGCACCCAGCUCUCCUUCAAUCUUCAACUCACCCUCUGGGUCACUAGUUUGGGGCCUGUGCCCCUGGUUCUUAUACCAUGUGCCCUCCCCAGGGUUUUUUUUUUUUUUUUUUUCUUUUUUUUUUUUUUUUUUUACCAAUCCCCAUCAUUAAGCAAGGAGAACUGGAGAGACCAUUAUCAAGGGCAUUUUCAUGUAUCUCUUGCUGAAUUAACUGAACAAAAACUCACAGGAAAUGGAGGAAUUGACUGGUACUGUAACGUCCAUGGAUGGACAGCAAGCCACUGCUCUGCUGGAAGACGUACCUCCUGGCAAUUGUAAACCCAGCAACAGUGAAGAAUUAAAAAAGCAGAGCUUAAAAGAAGAUGAUUUAUCUGAAGGUGGGAAAGGGGGAAAGAGAUGACAGACAGCUACUCUGGAUCAGUAGGGAGCAUUCAAAAGUGAGUAUCUGUGGAUUUUCUGACUCCAGCUACUUUUAUUGGGAUCCUUCUCCCCAUGGAGGGUCCUGAAUCUGAUUGGCUACCUGGCUAUCUUUGAUCCUAACCUUGGAUUUCUUCUGCCCAUAUGACUUUUCCUUGUCCUUUGGUGGUCGGCAAGAGUAUGAGUGGGGGCCUCAUGGAAAGAUACUUUAGGUUUAAGGAUUGAGCAAAGGGGAAGUGUGUGAUUCUUAUGUUAUGUGUAUGAUUCUCAUGCUCCUGGGACCUUUCUGGGUCCGUUUCUUCUUCUUUCUUUGCCUUUGUCUUUCUGAUUGCUUGAGUCUAGCUGCAGAGGCAGAAGAUGCCCUUAGAAGGAUUCUCUAUUAAUUUUUAAUAAAGCUCAACAUAGCCUUCAACCUAUCUUUUCUCUACCUACAGGGCUGCCUGUCCCUACAAUACAAUAAUGAUUCCUCUUCGUAGGGAAUUGCUCUUAUAUCUUAGCCACAUUUUUUUAUACAUGAUCUUAGCCAAAAGGCCAAGAAGCAAUGAGCCACAUUUUUAAAACCAGAAAUUUUAUGAUAGUUUCUUUGAGCAUAGUCCAACAACAUCAGAAACAAGAAAAGCAUAAAAAAUGACCAACCAAAAAUCUAACAAUUUGGAAAUUAAGAAACAGUCUCUGAAAUAUGCCUUGGAUCAAAGAGUAUUUAAAAACUGGAAUGAUAAAAGAGCAAUGAAAAAGGGAAUUUGUCCCACCAAACCUAGAAGACAUCCCUUAAAGCUGUACUCUGAGGAAAAUGCGUGGUCUUAAACGCUGCCAUAUAAAAAAUGUAAAUCUCAAAAGAAACUUAGUAGUUCUCUUCUUAAGAAAUUGUAACAAGAACCAUGCUGAAGAGUAAGUUAUUAAAGGUGGAAACUAAUAUUAAUGAAAUAAUAAAAUAAUGGAAUAUCUAAUCCAAGAGAUGGUCCUUUCAGGACACCAGCAAAGUACUGGUGAAUCUAAUGUAAGAAAGAGAGAAAUAAUACUUAGAUUAAGAAUGAAAAAAAUAGAUUAAGCUACACAAACAGAGGCUAUGGAAAUAAUUGUAAAGAAUGGAAUUUUUAAGAAUUCUGAACAACAGAACUUUUGGGAAAUAUUAUUUUGUAGUGGUUUUCUAAUGCUAUAAGCCCAAAGAUUAUGUUCUGCAAGAUUUUCCUUACAGCCCAGGGCA